CCUACGGGUGGCAGCAGUGAGGAAUAUUGGUCAAUGGCCGGAAGGCUGAACCAGCCAAGCCGCGUGAAGGACGAGGGGCCAAGAAGUGGAAACGUCUUUUGUCAAGGGACAAAAUCAGGCUCGAGAGCCGGACCGAGGGGACUUGAAGAAAAAGCAGCGGCAAACUCCGUGCCAGAAGCCGCGGAAAGACGGAGGAUGCGAGCGUUAUCAGGAUUGCUUGGGGGGAAAGGGGGCGGAGGCGGACUGGUAAGUCAGCGGGAAAAGCCCGGGGCUCAACCCCGGCGAGCCGUUGAAACUGGCUGUCUUGAUCUGUCGAGAGGUAUGCGGAAUGCGCGGUGUAGCGGUGAACUGCUUAGAUAUUGCGCAGAACUCCGAUUGCGAAGGCAGCAUACCGGCGGCGAUCUGACGCUGAGGCACGAAAGCGUGGGUAUCGAACAGGAUUAGAUACCCUUGUAGUC
rnacentral:rRNA from 1 species